UGUUCAUAGUUUGUGUUUGGCUUGGUAGAUUCUCUUUCUCUCUUUCUCUCUCUACAUAUAUAAUAUUAGAAUGUGGAAAGAGUAUAUUCUGUUAGGGUUUCCCUAAGUUUUUCAGUUAUAAAUAGCAAAGUGUGAAUGAGGGUUUGGUCAUGACAAUUAUAUACAUAUUUAGUUCAUUUCAUUGAAUCAAUUGGACUCAAAAUUUAAUAUAAUUAGGAGAUUUGCUAGCUAUACAUAUAUAUAGUCGUUGUUUGCAGGUGCAGCAGCAUCAAGAUUCACAUACAAAUUCUUUAACAUCUUUAAUUAAUUGGUGUUAUUAACUACACUAAUUAAGGAGAGUGUUUUGGUAUAUUGAGAAUCUUGAUGAUGCUGCAUCAGCAAUAAAUGAUUUCAACCUCAGAUCUUGGAUCCCUUAAUAUGGUUCUUUUUCAUGUUCAAGUCAGAAUCUCUGAGGGGUCAGACAUUAUAUGAUAUCUAGACAGAUUAAAUUAUGUUAUGUCUUGUUCUAUCUCUGCUCGCUCUCUGGCAUCAGUAAUCAUUCUAGCUGGAUGAUAGUCCGGGUGCGGGAGCAACUAUACUGUUGAAAAUAUUUUAGAUACAAAAAUUCAACACUAAGAUCUACUUCCGUUGUUCUUCUAUUAAGCCAAAUCAAAAUUCUAAUAUCACUUGCAGAGGAAUACAGAAUUACGAGAGCAACAACAUAUCAAGAGUUCUAAGCUUCGAAGAGAUUUUGACAGUACAUAUUUAUCAAAAACUUUAAUGUAUUAAGUAUAUAAAUUACUUUUAUUAUAUAUUCAACUCAUUAUCAUUUAUAGGUGAUGUGAGACUUAUUCAUUCAUAAUUGAGUUCAACUUGAUUGUUGACUGUCCAAGUAUAUCGAUAUAAAGUAUUCAUUUUAAUUA